rnacentral:snRNA from 1 species
GGAUGUGAGGGCGAUCUGGCUGUGACAUCUGUAACUCCCUUGAUAGCUAGGGUUGAUUCAGCUGAUCUGGCCAGCCAGGCGGGUGUCCCCUCCCUCACCCCUCCACGUGCGUCCCUCCGGAAGCUGCGGGCUCGGUCGAAGAGUAGGACCUUCCCCGUUAGAGAAGGACCAGUCCUCAGUCAAGGGUAUAUGAGUAGCUGCGCUCCCCUGCUAGAACCUCCAAACAAGCUCUCAAAAAAAGAUAUGCAAAGGAAAAAACCAACAGCAGGGGGAAAGAACUUUUUUCUAGGCUUCCC